rnacentral:rRNA from 1 species
UUAAUGUAUUUUUAAAAUGUUGUCCUGGUUUUGUAACUAAAAUGGUUUGGCAGUGAGCGAUUCUUGUUAGGGGAAGAUGCAUAGUAAAGGAUGGUCCGCCUAUUAUUUCACUCUUGUUAUGUUGGUGUAUAUCUGGUUUGAUAUUAUCGUUUAAUGGUUUGAGUUUGUGUAGUUUUAGUUAAGCCAAGUCUAUGUGCUGCUUAUGGGAGUUUUUGUGUGUUACAUUAAUAAGGGUGUUGUUGUAAUAUGAUAUUAUUUAGGACUUAAUAGUAAUGUUUAAAUUAGUUUGUUGAUGUGAAAUGAGUUUAGCUC